rnacentral:rRNA from 1 species
GAUUGAACGCUGGCGGCAUGCCUUACACAUGCAAGUCGAACGGUAACGCGGGCAACCUGGCGACGAGUGGCGAACGGGUGAGUAAUAUAUCGGAACGUGCCCAGUUGUGGGGGAUAACUGCUCGAAAGAGCAGCUAAUACCGCAUACGACCUGAGGGUGAAAGCGGGGGAUCGCAAGACCUCGCGCAAUUGGAGCGGCCGAUAUCAGAUUAGGUAGUUGGUGGGGUAAAGGCCUACCAAGCCGACGAUCUGUAGCUGGUCUGAGAGGACGACCAGCCACACUGGGACUGAGACACGGCCCAGACUCCUACGGGAGGCAGCAGUGGGGAAUUUUGGACAAUGGGGGCAACCCUGAUCCAGCCAUGCCGCGUGCGGGAAGAAGGCCUUCGGGUUGUAAACCGCUUUUGUCAGGGAAGAAAAGACUCCUACUAAUACUGGGGGUUCAUGACGGUAC